rnacentral:lncRNA from 10 species
UUUAUAUAAUUUUUUAAGUCUCAGUAGCUUCAACUCUGAAUCUAAAUUCUGAGUUUUCUUACAGAAAAUGAAAAGGUUGACCUGGAUGUCUUGAUGGAUGCAGCAAAAGCUUUUACAGGAGAAAAAGUUAAUGUCAGUAAUCUGGGGAAUGAGCUGAGGAAAAUGGGGCUCGUACUCACUGAUGAGGAGCACAAGAAGCUGCUGAAAACUCUGCCAAUUUGCACUAAUGGAAAGGUAUAUAAGAAUAGAUUGCUCAAAGGUGUGAAGGCCCUCAAUGGUAAGUAG